CCCUUAGAUGUUCUGGGCCGCACGCGCGCUACACUGACGAAUGCAACGAGCUUAUAACCUUGGCCGAAAGGUCUGGGUAAUCUCCAAAUUUCGUCGUGAUGGGGAUAGAUUAUUGCAAUUAUUAAUCUUCAACGAGGAAUGCCUAGUAAGCGCAAGUCAUCAGCUUGCAUUGAUUACGUCCCUGCCCUUUGUACACACCGCCCGUCGCACCUACCGAUUGAAUGGUCCGGUGAAAUCUUCGGAUCUGAGAGAUGUCUGAUUAAUUUCGGACGCCUUUUGGAAAAGUUGCUUAAACCUUACCAUUUAGAGGAAGGUGAAGUCGUAACA
rnacentral:rRNA from 1 species